GAUGAACGCUGGCGGCGUGCCUAAUACAUGCAAGUCGAGCGAACGGACGAGAAGCUUGCUUCUCUGAUGUUAGCGGCGGACGGGUGAGUAACACGUGGAUAACCUACCGAUAAGACUGGGAUAACUUCGGGAAACCGUAGCUAAUACCGGAAAAUAUGUUGAACCGCAAGGUUCAAAAGUGAAAGACGGUCUUGCUGCUACUUAUAGAUGGAGCGGCGCUGCAUUAGGUAGUUGGUAAGGUAACGGCUUACCAAGGCAACGAACAAUAGCCGACCUGGGAGGUGGUUCGCCCACCCUGGACCUGGGACCCGCUCCAGCCUCCUCCGGGAGGCACCGGUAGGGAAUCUUCCGCAAUGGGCGAAGGCCUGACGGAGCACGGCCCCGUGGGGGAUGAAGGUCUUCGGAUCGUAAACCUCUGUUAUUAGGGAAGACCAUAUGUGUAAGUAACUGUGCACACCUUGACGGUACCUAAUCAGAAAGCCACGGCUAACUACGUG
rnacentral:rRNA from 1 species